rnacentral:lncRNA from 1 species
AUAUAAAUGAGAAAUUCUAUUUUUAUUUUUAUAUAUAUUAUGAGCAAAAAUUUAUCCUUGAGCUUUUGAUUUUUUUUUUUUUUACUUUUUUUUUUUUUUUUUGUCUUUAAAAUAUAUAUAUAUAUUUUUUUUAAAUGUAAGUCAAGAUACAUAUUGUAGCAUAACAAAUGAGUGAAGUGUAUUUGUAAUGUAUGAGAGAAAGUCAGAGAGCGAGAAAAUAUUACCAAAUAAAACUUAUAUGUAACCUUUAAUAUUAUAAUUGUAAAAAUCAAUUUGUCAGUGAUAAAAAUUGUUUACUGAAUUAUUUUCAAUAUUAUGUAACCCCUUGAUACCCUUGUCAGGUGGUAGUGUAGGGGUACAUGUAUGUUAAAUCCUGACUAUUGAAAAACAAAUAAAAGAUAAAAAAAAAAAAGAU